rnacentral:rRNA from 1 species
UACGUAGGGUGCAAGCGUUGUUCGGAAUUACUGGGCGUAAAGCGCGCGUAGGCGGAUUGGAAAGUCGAUUGUGAAAUCCCUGGGCUCAACCUGGGAAUUGCAGUCGAAACUCCCAAUCUUGAGUGCCUGAGAGGAUGGCGGAAUUCCCGGUGUAGUAAGUGAAAUACGUAGAUAUCCGGAGGAACACCGGUGGCGAAGGCGGCUUCCUGGACCGACACUGACGCUGGAGGCGCGAAAGCGUGGGGAGCGAACAGG